CCGGCGACCGGCGCACGGGUGAGUAACACGUAUGCAACCUGCCCGUGGCAGGGGGAUAAGCGGGGGAAACCCCGUCUAAUACCGCGUAACGCGGCCUAGGGACAUCCCAAGGCCGCCAAAGGGAGCAAUCCCGGCCACGGAUGGGCAUGCGGCGCAUUAGCUAGUCGGCGGGGUAACGGCCCACCGAGGCGACGAUGCGUAGGGGUUCUGAGAGGAAGGCCCCCACACUGGUACUGAGACACGGACCAGACUCCUACGGGAGGCAGCAG
rnacentral:rRNA from 1 species